AUAUAUAAUACUUAUUACUAUUGAAUUUCUAUUGUUUUUAAAACAUAAAAGGAGGUAGCUGGACAACAUGCCAGGCGCAUCAGUGUACCAAAUCCAAAGAAGAUUUUUUUUAAAUAGUAAGGUCAUUUAUUUAGGCAUUAGAUUAAGAGCCUAGAUUUUUCAAAUCAUCUUCACUCCAAUGUGAACAGGAAAUUUCCUCAUAUCAUCCUUCCUCAGGGUCAAGUUUUCUACUGAAGUAGGAAUAGGUUGGUAAGGAUCUCUGCAAGUUAUCUGGACUUACUGGGUGGAGUUUCUUUUGCAUCAGGUAUGCUCAGGUGUGGAAGCUGAGUCACAAGGCUGUGCUCAGAGCAAGCUGAGGAUCACAGACCUGUCAUCAGGCUGAGUGAUGGAAAGCAGCGCUGAGGUAAAUUGACAACUCGGAAUUAACUGGGUGCUGGCACAGCUCAGCCGGCGCUGCCGAUGCUGUCAAGGUGGAGAUUCGAGCUUUAUGUACAGUGCCUGCAGCCCUGCCAUGAUUUAUAGGAAUUGCAGCUCAAGUCUGAACCAAGAGGAAGCAAAAAUCUCCAAGCCAAAUGGCAGACUCUUAAAUUUGCUACAGCAGAGUCUUGACAUAUGGUUUGGUUUGCAAGGAGUUACAAAGCUCAGUGAAUGCCAGUGAAUUCAGCCAUUUAAUGCUGAAAUAACACCAGAUU